GACAGAGGAGGCAAGCGUUGUCCGGACUUACUGGGCGUAAAGCGUCCGCAGGUGGUCGUGCAAGUGCGCUGUGAAAAGCGCUCGGCUUAACUGAGCGAGCCAGUGCAGACUGCACGACUCGAGACCGGGGAGAGUCGGGUGGAAUUGCCGGGUGUGAGUGGUGAAAUGACGUAGAGAGUCGGCAGGAACACCCAAGGGGAAGCC
rnacentral:rRNA from 1 species